UCACCCUUUAGUAAGAGGAAGAAAGGAGAAAGAAGAAGAAGAAGAGAAAUUACUGUAGAGAUCGAUUUGCUUGGGAGAUUGCUAGAGGAUUCAGCAAAAAGAUGAGGAGAGCAGUCAGCUGCAGGUUGAUAAUUCAGAGCAUGAUGACGUGAUUAUGGAUCAGUUGGCUUGUAUUCCGGAUUUUGAUGAUUUCAGCCAUAGGCAUGACUGCGAAUGUGAUGACUGUGCAUACGGUGGACAACAAUAUUGCGGACUGAUGUAGAUGAUUAUCCUUUUGCAUAUAUAUUUGAAUAGUGGUGAAAAUCAAUUUUUGUUAAUACAGGUUGGAGGGUAAAACUACUGUUGGAAUAUAUUUUGUGUAAAUAUUUGUUUUACAAUGGGAUGAAUGUUUAUAUAUAUAUAUGGAAUACUGUAUAUGUUUUUGUGAAUCAUUGUAUAUACGGUAUCAAGUAUCACAUAGAAGCACUGGGAUCACAUAGAAGCACUGGGUGGAUAUUAUCUUUAUUUGAUUUUAUAUGAUCCGUUGCGAAUUCUAAUUA